UCUCCCCUAGCUCAGCUGGUUAGAGCGUUCGACUGUUAAUCCAUUGCAAUCGAGAGGUCGACAGUUCAAUCCUGUCGGGGAGAG